GCACCAAGUAAAAGAGCAGGGUUUACAGCACACACCAGCCUGGGAAGGCAGCAGAGGGACACAGGAUGGGGAGGGACAUGCAGAAUCUGGAAUCCAAAGAGCAAAGUAUUUGCAAAAGCUCUAUGACUUCAAGGUCUUUGAACUCCCUGACAUCAGGAGAUGGAAAGCUCCCAAGACAGGCUGUUCUACUGAGGCUUUCAGCCCAAUUUCCAGGAACUGGAGCAAGUCGAGUGCAUUCAGGGGGAUGGAUUUUCCUCCAGAGGGAGGAAAUAUUCAGGAAUGAUUCAACUGUGCAAUAAAACCAUUGACAUUUGCCUGUCA